CGAUGUCAUUUUUCUAGGUGGCGACAUUUCGAGGAAAAAGAAGUUACUUAAGAAACAGGCUGAAGGAAAGAAAAGGAUGAAGUCCAUUGGUAAAGUUGAUGUGCCUCAAGAAGCUUUCAUGGCGGUCUUGAAAUUGGAAAAGGAGGUGAUAUGAUCACGUAUACAUGUAACGUAAGUUGCAGCAUUAUCUGAAAUUUGUAAAUAUAAAGUGGAAAUUCAAAACCUCGAUGUAUUACUGCUUUGGUAUAACGGUCCAAGUAUUGUCCUUCAAUGAUUUUAAGCUGCAUACAGUGCAAGAUUUUGUGAUUUUGACUCGGUUCCCUUAAGGGAGGAAAAAAAGAAAAAAGUUGAAGCAUAGCACAAUUAUUCUGU